UCCGGUUGAUCCUGCCGGAGGCUACUGCUAUCGGGGUUCGAUUAAGCCAUGCGAGUUAAAUGUUCUUCGUGAACAUAGCGAACUGCUCAGUAACACGUGGAUAACCUACCCUUAGGACCGGAAUAACCCCGGGAAACUGGGGAUAAUACCGGAUAAGCCAUAGACGCUGGAAUGCCCUAUGGUUCAAAGCUCCGGCGCCUAAGGAUGGAUCUGCGGUCUAUCAGGUUGUAGUGGGUGUAACGUACCUACUAGCCGACGACGGAUACGGGUUGUGAGAGCAAGAGCCCGGAGAUGGAUUCUGAGACACGAAUCCAGGCCCUACGGGGUGCAACAGGCGCGAACACUUUACAAUGCGGGAAACCGCGAUAAGGGAACCCCGAGUGCCAGCAUCAAAUGUUGGCUGUCCAGAUGGUUAAAAAUCAUUUGUUAGCAAGGGCCGGGCAAGACCGGUGCCAGCCGCCGCGGUAACACCGGCGGCCCGAGUGGUAGCCGUUUUUAUUGGGUCUAAAGGGUCCGUAGCCGGCCUGAUAAGUCCUUUGGGAAAUCUGACAGCUUAACUGUCAGGCUUCUAAGGGAUACUGUCAGGCUUGGGACCGGAAGAGGUAAGGGGUACUCCAGGGGUAGGAGUGAAAUCUUGUAAUCCCUGGGGGACCAUCUGUGGCGAAGGCGCCUUACCAGAACGGGUCCGACGGUGAGGGACGAAAGCUAGGGGAGCAAACCGGAUUAGAUACCCGGGUAGUCCUAGCUGUAAACGAUGCUCGCUAGGUGUCAGACACGGUGCGACCGUGUUUGGUGCCGCAGGGAAGCCGUUAAGCGAGCCACCUGGGAAGUACGGUCGCAAGGCUGAAACUUAAAGGAAUUGGCGGGGGAGCACUACAACGGGUGGAGCCUGCGGUUUAAUUGGAUUCAACGCCCGGG
rnacentral:rRNA from 1 species